rnacentral:rRNA from 1 species
AACGAACGCUGGCGGCAUGCCUAACACAUGCAAGUCGAACGAGACCUUCGGGUCUAGUGGCGCACGGGUGCGUAACGCGUGGGAACCUGCCCUUAGGUUCGGAAUAACUCCCCGAAAGGGGUGCUAAUACCGGAUAAUGUCUUCGGACCAAAGAUUUAUCGCCUUUGGAUGGGCCCGCGUUGGAUUAGCUAGUUGGUAGGGUAAAAGCCUAUCAAGGCGACGAUCCAUAGCUGGUCUGAGAGGAUGAUCAGCCACACUGGGACGAAGACACGGCCCAGACUCCUACGGGAGGCAGCAGUGGGGAAUAUUGGACAAUGGGCGAAAGCCUGAUCCAGCAAUGCCGCGUGAGUGAUGAAGGCCUUAGGGUUGUAAAGCUCUUUUACCCGGGAUGAUAAUGACAGUACCGGGAGAAUAAGCUCCGGCUAACUCCGUG